rnacentral:rRNA from 1 species
CUACGGGGCGCAGCAGUGGGGAAUAUUGCGCAAUGGGGGAAACCCUGACGCAGCAACGCCGCGUGGGUGAUGAAGGUUUUCGGAUCGUAAAACCCUGUUUUCUGGGACGAUAAUGACGGUACCAGAUGAGGAAGCCACGGCUAACUACGUGCCAGCAGCCGCGGUAAUACGUAGGUGACAAGCGUUGUCCGGAUUUACUGGGCGUAAAGGGUGCGUAGGCGGAUGCUUAAGUGAGAUGUGAAAUACCUAGGCUUAACUUAGGGGCUGCAUUUCAAACUGGGCAUCUAGAGUACAGGAGAGGGAAACGGAAUUCCUAGUGUAGCGGUGAUAUGCGUAGAGAUUAGGAAGAACACCAGUGGCGAAGGCGGUUUCCUGGACUGUAACUGACGCUGAGGCACGAAAGCGUGGGUAGCAAACAGGAUUAGAUACCCGGGUAGUC